AUAGAGACUCAGAGCUGCAUAUCAAUAAGCGGAGGAAAAGAAACUAACUAGGAUUCCCUUAGUAACGGCGAGUGAAGCGGGAAGAGCUCAAAUUUGAAAUCUUCAAGGUUCUACCUUGACGAAUUGUAGUUUAAAGAAGUGUUUUCUGUUGGAGUUUUGGUAAAAGUUCUCUGGAAUAGGACAUCAUAGAGGGUGAGAAUCCCGUAUUUGACCAUUUCUUCCAGCUGUGUGAUACACUUUCAAAGAGUCGGAUUGUUUGGGAAUGCAGUCCAAAAUGGGUGGUAAAUUUCAUCUAAAGCUAAAUAUUGGCGAGAGACCGAUAGCGAACAAGUACCGUGAGGGAAAGAUGAAAAGAACUUUGAAAAGAGAGUUAAACAGUACGUGAAAUUGUCAAAAGGGGAGCGUUUGACACCAGUGUUGUUUUUCCGAAAAUCAAUUACGAAUGUUUUGUUUUUGAGGAGUUAUGACUUCAUCGGCUUGCUCCUUUCUUUACGAAACUUUCUUAAUGCACUUUUCGGUUAACAAGUCAACAUCAAUUUCUUUUGUUGUAAAAGGGUAUGAGGAAGGUGGCUUUCUUUUCGGAGAAAGUGUUUAUAGCCUUGUGCCUCUGCAAUCGGAGAGAUUGAGGUCUGCAGCGUAGAUCCUUCGGGGUUAGAUACAUUUGUGCUAAGUUAUAGCUUUUCAUAGACGACUUGUUGACUUAUGUUUAGUCUUGUAGCUUACUCGCUUAUGCUAUUUUACCUACGCUUAGGAUGUUGAUAGUCACAGCGUGUAC
rnacentral:rRNA from 1 species